GCGCUCACUUCGGCAGCACAUAUACUAAAAUGGGAAUGAUACAGAGAAGAUUAGUGUGGUCCCUGCGCAAGGAUGACAUGCAAAUUCGUGAAGUGUUUCAUAUUAGA
rnacentral:snRNA from 1 species